CCUGCACCCUAGAGGAUUAUUGCUUCUGUGUCACAUGUGUGUCAGCAGGUGGCAGAGAAGAGAGAGGCUAUGUCUCUGGUCAGCCUUUUGACCUAUGAACAUCUGAAUGAUUAGUAGCCUAGCAUU